rnacentral:rRNA from 1 species
GAUGGACGCUGGCGGCAUGCCUAACACAUGCAAGUCGAUCGGUAAGGCUCUUCGGAGUACACGAGAGGCGGACGGCUGAGUAACGCGUAGGAACACACCCUGCAGUGAGGGAUAAGACACCGAAAGGUGUUCUAAUACCGCAUACGGUCUUCGGAUUAAAGCAUUUAUGCGCUGAAGGAGUGGCCUGCGUCAUAUUAGAUAGUUGGUGAGGUAAUGGCUCACCAAGUCGAUGAUGUGUAGCUGGUCUGAGAGGAUGAUCAGCCAGACUGGAACUGAGACACGGUCCAGACUCCUACGGGAGGCAGCAGUGAGGAAUAUUUCACAAUGAGCGAAAGCUUGAUGGAGCAAUGCCGCGUGCAGGAUGAAGGCCCUCGGGUUGUAAACUGCUUUUAUAAGAGAAGAUUAUGACGGUAACUUAUGAAUAAGGGACGGCUAACUACGUG